AACGAACGCUGGCGGCGGGCCUAACACAUGCAAGUCGAGCGAACCCUUCGGGGUUAGCGGCGGACGGGUUAGUAACGCGUGGGAAUAUACCCUUUGGUACGGAAUAGCCUCGGGAAACUGAGAGUAAUACCGUAUGUGCCCUUCGGGGGAAAGAUUUAUCGCCAAAGGAUUAGCCCGCGUUGGAUUAGGUAGUUGGUGGGGUAAUGGCCUACCAAGCCUACGAUCCAUAGCUGGUUUGAGAGGAUGAUCAGCAACACUGGGACUGAGACACGGCCCAGACUCCUACGGGAGGCAGCAGUGGGGAAUCUUAGACAAUGGGCGCAAGCCUGAUCUAGCCAUGCCGCGUGGACGAUGAAGGCCUUAGGGUUGUAAAGUCCUUUCAGAUGGGAAGAUAAUGACGGUACCAUCAGAAGAAGCCCCGGCUAACUCCGUG
rnacentral:rRNA from 1 species